AGUGGUGCAACCUUGCACCACUAUACCAAUUGUCCAUUUUACCCCUGUUAAAAAAAUUAUUUUAUAAAAAGAAAAAAAUAUUGGUAUUAUCGGGUGGAUUUUGAUGGGAUUAAUUUUUUGAACAGGGAUAAAAUGGACAAUUAACAUAGUGGUGCAAAGUUACACCACU
rnacentral:pre_miRNA from 1 species